rnacentral:rRNA from 1 species
UACGUAGGCAGCAAGCGUUUGUUCGGAAUUACUGGGCGUAAGGAGUGUGUAGGCGGUGCUCUAAGUUCGGUGUGAAAUCUCCCGGCUCAACUGGGAGGGUGCGCCGGAAACUGGGGUGCUGGAGCACUGUAGAGGCGGGUGGAAUUCCGGGUGUAGCGGUGGAAUGCGUAGAGAUCCGGAAGAACACCAGUGGCGAAGGCGACUCACUGGCCCGUUACUGACGCUGAUGCGCGAAAGCGUGGGGAGCAAACAGG